UCAAAAAUGUCAAUCACUUUCCUAAUGAGUCUGUUUUUGUUUGCAGAUAUCACGGCGUCACAGCCCAUAGUCCAGCAGUCCCCGGCCUCCAUCCUGGUAGAGCCGGGACAAGCUGCCCGUCUCCACUGUUACCACGGCGAUAACAGCUACCCCUACAUGCUCUGGUACCAGUCGGCGGCGGGAGGCGGGCGACGGACCAUGGACCUGAUCGGACUGCUUCACUACGAAAACCAAAGUCCCGAGAAGGGCUUUGAGAGUCGCUUCAACAUGACGGGUCACUCGAAAGGCAAAGCUCAGCUGAUCGUCUCCGACGCCAAACCUGGAGACACAGCAGAGUAUUUCUGCGCAGCGAGUUAACACACUGCUUCAUUUCCCCUGGCUGCUGCACAAAAACACUCCAGCUCACACCUGCGUGGGCUGAGAGAUAAACGUUUGGUAAGAGGUGUGCUGCAUAAGACUGACACGACACCUGUCAUGAACACGAAGGAGUCUUUAUGAAUGUGUACGACCGUUGCCAUGAACAUGUUGUCAUUCGGUAAAUCAUGACACUUUUAAUGCAAAGUUGCUCUAAAGGUUGCAUCAAAAGUUCAUUAAAAGUGUCAACUUUGCAUUAAAGUGUCAUUAUUUACCCAAUAAUUCAAAGCUGGCCCCAUUAAAGGACUUUUAAUGCAACUUUUAAAGCAUUAAAAGUGUCAUUAUUUACCAAAUGACACCAGUCAUAAACACUCCUUCAUGUGUUAUAUCAUGUUUAUGACAGUGUCAUGUCAGUUUU